CCGCCUGUUUAUCAAAAACAUCGCCUCUUGAAACAAAAACAUAAGAGGUCCCGCCUGCCCAGUGACUAUAAGUUCAACGGCCGCGGUAUUUUGACCGUGCAAAGGUAGCGCAAUCACUUGUCUUUUAAAUGAAGACCUGUAUGAAUGGCACCACGAGGGCUCAACUGUCUCCUUUCUCCUGUCAAUGAAAUUGAUCUCCCCGUGCAGAAGCGGGGAUUUCUCCAUAAGACGAGAAGACCCUAUGGAGCUUCAGGCACCAGAACAGACCAUGUUAAGCACCCCAAACACAAAGGACAAAACUAAAUAGACCCUGUUCCAAUGCCUUUGGUUGGGGCGACCGCGGGGAAACAAAGAACCCCCACGUGGACUAGGAGCACCCUUUACUCCCACAACCCAGGGCUACAGCCCUAAGUAACAGAAUCUCUGACCAUAGAUGAUCCGGCACAGCCGAUCAACGAACCGAGUUACCCUAGGGAUAACAGCGCAAUCCCCUUCUAGAGUCCAUAUCGACAAGGGGGUUUACGACCUCGAUGUUGGAUCAGGACAUCCUAUUGGUGCAGCCGCUAUUAAGGGUUCGUUUGUUCAACGAUUAAAGUCCUACGUGAUCUGAGUUCAGACCGG
rnacentral:rRNA from 1 species